rnacentral:lncRNA from 1 species
UGAGAAAAGUCUUUUGGCCCAAAGCAGAAAAGAGAUUAGAAAAAAUUUCUAAUACUUCUUCAUUGCAGUCAUCAUUGGUUAAUUGAAAAUCGAUAUGAAUAUGUGUUUGAGUUUAACAUGAUUGUAUACUCAUAAACAUAUUCAAGAUGCAGGGAUGAUCGAAGGAUUGAAUUGUAUGGUAACUUACCACUGAAGGAUAUAUUUGAUAUUUUUAUCAAAAUUCUAUAUCUUCUAAGUAGUCAU